CAGCUUGAUUGUCUCUAGAAGGAUACCAGUUUGGAGCUCAGCAGUAUUAGUAAGAAUUAACACUAAUUUGUAGCUUCUAAUUUGCUCAAAAUAGCAUCAAAAGUGAAUUUUCCCAUUUUUAUUUACUACUGCACUGGAAGGUACUGUACCACGAAGAUCUACCCUCACAUUACUGCACUGCUUGACAACGCCAGCAAACUUUACUUUUCCAGAGUCAGUAUCCUACAAAACAAUGCAAGCUGUUGUGUUGCAGAACGGUGAUGUGAGAGCACACAACGGCCACAGACCCAUCGGUAUGAACUCAGCAGCCUUUACCCACUCAAAAAUCCAGUGACCAGACCAUCUGCAGAACCAAAGAGGCAGCGUACAGCUGCUGUGAGACGAAAUGUUCAGCCACAAUUACAGUUGUUCUGCAGCCAAUAAAUCCAUCUGUGGGUCUGAGCACGUAUAUCUCAUCUCCCUGGGGAUGAUCAUCCAAAUGACAUCUGGCAAAAAGGAAUGAGCAGUGCUCGCAUAGGCCACGUCUGUUUGGUUACAGCUCUGCGUGCAGGAGGGGUGUGCGGCGCUACCGCUACUUCUCCUUCCCAGGCUGGUUUCCUUCCAGCCACUGCCACUGCCUGCAGCCUCGCACCCAGACCCGCCCAGAGCUCGCACGCGGGCACCAACCUGACACUGCUCAACUGCCGCUCUACAGGAAUUUGAAUAAAGCAAACAGAGACUGACGGGGAAGCCAGAACUGAAGACGAUUUUACUGAAAGGCUCGACACGGCUGGCUUUUCUUAAAACUACAUUAUCAUGUGACGGCAUUACAACAUACUGACUUUUCUAGACCAAGAGCUCCUUAGGCAGCCCGCAGUGUUUGCGAGAAAGGACAAAACUCACAGUGGGAAGGAAGCUCCAUUAACCCUUUCCUAUGAAAGGAACUAAACAAUCUUUUUCUGAACACUGUUUUUACCUCUUGUUAUUAAUGGACCUUUGCUCAAAAUCUUUAUGGCUUACUUCUCUUCCCUUCAAUUUUCUUCAGCUUGUGUUACCCCUGCUCUUCAAUAUGCCUUUCCUUAUUGCUUCCUUUUCAGACUGCAAAGACGCUGAGAGAUUGCACUCCUGGACACUUGUGCAACUGUGAAAAUAAGUAACAACCUCUUGCAAAAUUUGCAAUAAGAUACCAGGGUCAUGUAAAUAAAAUCUCCCAAAUAACUGCCAGAUUUUAUACAAAAUCUUAUUUUUCUAAUCUUGUCCAAUUCCUGUUCCCCUAACCUGUUUUUCCUUCUUCUUCCUUUGCCAUUCUUUGAUCCAAGAUUAUCAGCAUCUAUUACUAGUAUGAGUUCUGAGCCAGUGAGAUAACAGAGACUACUCUGUCACUAGUUAGCAUUACCAACCCACCCCAUAUUUUAUUCUGAAUGUGCCUGCCUGGAGAUAUUCUGCACUCUGAUUUACAGAUGUGCUUGUGGGAAUUUUCUUAAAAGCUGUGAGGUGUACAUGUUUCCUAAGAAACAAAUUUGGUCCUGGGGCACUGCUUUUGUUUGCCUUAAUAUCUCUCCUUAUACUACUAUUUAUUCAAGUUUGUAUUCUCAUAUUUACUUUAAGGCUCCUUUACGCCACUCUUACUCUAUGUACACUGGGUAAACACAGGUGCACAUUUUAGGUAUGCUGUGAGAGGCUGCAUUGCAAAUAAGCAAUAUUGCUCUUAUAGCUAUUUCCCAGCAUUUUAACAAGCCAUCAAACAUGGGAGCUAGGAAAGAUCUUAAGAAAUUAUCUCGUCCAACCUCCAGCUGCAGAGAACCUCAAUUUCUCUCUAACUCUUCACCUUUUCUGUAACCCUCUGCGUAUUUUUCCUGCAGCAACAGGCCUGGAUACAAAGCACACAAAUAUUUCCAAGCUCAACUCUACAUCAGCUCAGGCCCACCUCUGAUCCGUAAGCAAACACACUUUAUCUAUAAGCAACCUGCCCUUUCCCAACUCUGCCGCAGCAGGAAUGCAGCCUUGUCCAUUUCCAGGCAGAAGCUGUCAGACACAAUCCUGUAGUUCUCCAAAAUGCUGACUUUCUGCUCUUAUUAAUUUAUUGAUCUGCUUUACAGAAUGUAGGUAUUCAAUCAUUUCAUUUUUCUUAUUAAACUCAACUUGCUUCUCUAUAAAUUUAAUUUAUAGAAAAACUUCUGAACUUGACAAGGACACCCUUCAUUUCAUGCAAUUGAUUUUUCCUCUGCGUGCAUAAUCUGGCUAGUCCAAUGCCAAAACACAGACUUCAUAAAAAGCAAAAAAAUAUUCCUCCUACUGUAAACACAUUCAGCAGUUUAUUACUGACUACAGUUUAGGUUAGCAUAAAUCACUGUAUGCUUCUGUUCCCGGCCAGAUAUCAUAUUAAAAAAAUCAGGACGUAUUUUUGUAUCUACACAGAAGAUACAGGACCAGAGCAGUUCAGAAUAUUCCCUGCUAUUUUAUCAUCUGUUCCAGUCACUGUCAGCCAGCACGUAGCCCUCACUUUGACUUGUUAUGUGACUGCUUUGACAUUCCUCUGGUCUCACAUCAACUUCCUAAUCCCAGCCCUUUCAAGCUAAUGCACGACCGCAUCGAGCAGCGGGGAGGACGGUCGCUGCUGCAGACGUAAGGUCUGUGAGUCCAGCCCACGCGCAAGCAAGUGCUGAAGUGAGAAUGCCAGGGACGGGUUCUGGUUCCUCCUCACCUGCCCAGCCCCAGCUCCCCCUACUCAGCAGGCUCUGGCUAGGACAUUUAACUGCGCUGUGCUAUCAGGAGCAGGGAAUGAAAAGCAGGACAGAAUAAGCCGUCCAAGAAAGGUCAUUUCAAACGCGGCAGACAAGACUUCUUGCAGACCAAAACGUCAGCUGCACAGAUCCUCCUGCUCCGUAUCAAAGUGGAACAAACGUCUCCCCUGCCGGCGCUGUGGUGCUGGGAGCUGUGCGAUCAGCCCGGCAUGUAACAGGGUGUGGGCACAGCAAACUGGCUGAGGCUGCCCUGCUUUUUCUCUGUAAUACAAAGACCCUUUUCUGCUAUCAUUGCUUAGGACAGUUCAAGUUCAACACGCUCAUCAUGACCUUCAGCCAUCUGAGAUAACAGCUCUGGUAGCUUCGGCGGGUAAAUUUAGCGCAGAUGUUCCUGACAGGCUCCCUGACGAGGCACAACACCCAUGGCCAGCUUACAAAAAGGAAUGGUUUUGAACCAAAAGAGAACAAACCCGAACCUGUCUCCCUCACUGCAGAGCAUCUACUCCCGGUGAAAGUCCUGAACUCGCCACACACAGUAAGCCAUCUGCUCUAUUUAUUAUACCACAAAGAUGUGGUCCAAAAAUGAAAAAAUCCCUAAGAGACCAUAAGAAUGCAGAGAAAAAAUCAGUCUUGUCUCUCUCUGAUAUUCCAUCUGUGCAGCUUUUCCCCAGAAUCCUCUUUUAGCCGGCCCUUACAGAUUAACCACUUGGGUACCAGUGAUGGGUUUUCCAGUGUAUGCUGUGGCGCUAAGGGCAGCUGAUCUAUUCUGGGAUGUUGACGGCGCCUUCAUCCCCCCCAGCCAGCACAACUGCUCUGCGGCUCUCUGCUCACUGCAAUCCCUUUUUCUCUUCAACCCUCACUGCCCUCUUUCUCCAUUCUGCUUUUCCCUUUCGCCUUCUCUUCUGCCUCCACAAACUCAUGCUGAACUUUCUCCGACCCAAGGAGGCUCAAAACAAACAGAAGCUUGUGAAUUAUUAACAGCGUAGACUAUAAAUAGUGCAUUUUUAAUGACAGCCGGACCACCGGGAUGCAUGCACUACUGCACAGAUCAGCUACUUGGCCUGAUGUCAUUACCCUGAAGUGUCCCCUCACCUGCCAUUUGUCAUGGGUACUCCACAGAAGAGCAACUGUGGAGAGGAGGGACAGAAGCCCUGGGCCUGAAAAGCACCACGGGCUCUUCUAGUACUUUGCCAUGUAUUUACACUCCUUGGGCUGAUCUGGCUUCCAGAGGUCUGUGUACGAUCCAAACAACCAGAACAGAAAUGCAGCCUGGUGGUCCCCGAACAGAAACCCUCACUGGGACAGUUUGCACAAACUGAAUGGGGAUCUGCACAAUGAGCAGAGCAUGGGUGGAAACUGUGAUCAAUAUUCUCUGCUGAUCCAUACUAGGAUUCAUUAACUGGAAUGAACAACCUUUCCGUGGCAGAAACCUUCCAGCAGAAAGCCAUAGCAAUGGAAAUGAAGCACCACAAGUGCCCUGCUGAGAGUCCUGCAAAUGCCUGGAAGGCAGGAAAUGCUUGACGCAGACACCUAGACUCGUUUUACAACUCCAGAUAGAACGACAAAUGCAUACAUCCCCAUUUCUACACAAGCAGCACAGUCCCUUACUUGGAAUGCACCCAGAUUUCAGAUGGAUUUCCUAGUCCAGUCUGGUAACUGACUGAGUCAAAAAGACUUCCACAAAGCUGAUUAAAAACACAAAUCAUAAAUCAGUUAAAAAAUUCACAGAAGAAAAAACAAAUGCAAUUUGUGUAACCAGAUUCACCGUGUCAGUAUACAGGAAUGUUGAAUAAGCAGAUUCUGGUGUUUCAGCAGCCUGAGGAAAAGCCCCGUAACCUGGAUCUUUGAAAGUAUUUAAGACGGGCAGACAACAAAAGUCCUCUUUCAUUUGUGAAAGCUUAUAGCAGUGUGUAAAGUCUUGAUGGAGAAAGAUGGCACUGAGCUUAUUAGCCUCCCAGCUGAACAGUGCUGUGCAGACUUGGCAGCUGCAUCCGCAAAGGAGGAUAAUGGAAAACACAUAAAUCAGCCCUGAGUCAUCUGCACGGUCUUACAGGCCCUUGCAACAUGUGACUGUGUGGGGUACGCGGCCUGGUGCCACCCUUGAUUCCACAGCUAUGCCUCACCAGUAACCCGCAGCGAAAAUCAUCCAAAAAGUCAUCCAGUUUGCUGCACUUACAAGGACAAUAAGUAUGGCAAGGACUCUGAGAAGCAAAGCGUGGAUUCUUUCUCUCUCCAAGUUUUGACUGAUUUUUAAAAAGAUAUGCUUUACCGGCCAGAACAGUUCAGUCAGCAGUGUGCAGACAGAACCCAGCCUUCCACCUCUGCUACCCUGGCCUCAGACAUGAGACAACAGUCCUUCCAGGCAGGUACGAAGAGAGAAGGUGUUGGUAACGUCUCCAGGACAGCUUGUGACACCAAACAAUUUCUAAUGCACUUGCAAAAACCUGGGAUUUUGCAUAUCACAAUUUGUCUCUGUGUCCAUAAGACACAAACCACAGCCUGGGAAGGUCAAAGACUGGCAGCUGGACCGCGGUGUUGUACAGGCUGAACAAUGGGGUAGCUGCUGGAAACCCUCAGUGCUAGACAGUGCCCCAGGUUACACGGGAUUCCUGUGUCACACAGAGACCAGACUAAGCAAUCAUCUCUUCUAGCCCUCGAAUCUAUUGCAUGAAUGAACAGAAAGCACACUGAGGAAGAAACACCAACUACUGAAGCAGAACUUACAAAAAUACAGAAACUUACAGAAAUAAUAAAUUGACAAAUACUUUGCUUCUUUUAAAAAAGUGAGCAAGAAGGCCAGUAACAUGGCAACAGCCCUACAAAGCUGUAUAACUUGACUGCUAUCUUUCCUGGCUGUAACAGC